rnacentral:misc_RNA from 1 species
AACGCACAUUGCGCCCAUUAGUAUUCUAGUGGGCAUGCCUGUUCGAGCGUCAUUUCAACCCUUAAGCCCCUGUUGCUUAGUGUUGGGAGACUACGCCCUCGGCGUAGCUCCCCAAAGUUAGUGGCAGAGUCAGUUCAAACUCUAGGUGUAGUAAAUUUCUUCUCGCCUCUGUAGUUGGGCUGCCCCUCGCCGUAAAACACCCCAAAUUUUAAAGGUUGACCUCGGAUCAGGUAGGAAUACCCGCUGAACUUAA